rnacentral:misc_RNA from 1 species
GAGCGGGUGGUGGAGAAUUGGAGCUUGUACAGAUUAACGACUACGUUGUUAAGGUUAGGCUAAGUGGACCGGCUGCUUCUGUGAUGACAGUUCGUGUAGCUCUUACUCAAAAACUGAGAGAUGCAAUACCAGCUAUUGCUGCUGUUCAGUUGACAGAUUGAAGAAAAUGCUCAGCCAUACGCGCGACUACAUUUUCCUGCAAGAACAAAGAUUUACAGUAUCAUUU